GCAGUUGUGGCCGAGUGGUUAAAGCGAUGGACUAGAAAUCCACUGGGUGUCCCCGCACAGGUUCGGCUCCUGUCGAUUUCA
rnacentral:tRNA from 2 species